rnacentral:rRNA from 1 species
UACGAAGGGGGCUAGCGUUGCUCGGAAUCACUGGGCGUAAAGGGUGCGUAGGCGGGUUUUUAAGUCAGAGGUGAAAUCCUGGAGCUCAACUCCAGAACUGCCUUUGAUACUGAAAGUCUUGAGUGUGGGAGAGGUGAGUGGAACUGCGAGUGUAGAGGUGAAAUUCGUAGAUAUUCGCAAGAACACCAGUGGCGAAGGCGGCUCACUGGCCCAUAACUGACGCUGAGGCACGAAAGCGUGGGGAGCAAACAGG